UGCACUCUCUGGUUCUAUAUUCAGACUGCAGAAGUAUCAGUCCAGCCACCCUUUCAGAUCUACUUCAAGGAAACACGAGCUUGAAAACUGCUCCCCGUGGUUUUGUCUGAACUGCUCACAUCCUGCAGCACACACUGGGUCCAGUGCUGGAGCCAGGAACCUAGAGGUGAGCGAGCAUCGAGCAGCACUUAGCAGAGUGAGGCAGGCGGGCCUAUGAGAAAGGAUGGAGAUAUACUGCUGCCUGAACUGGGUCAGACAGCCACAGGUGCUUCAAACCACCUUUUAUACCACUCUGGUUGGAAAUAGAACCAUUGGAGACUCAUCUUGUUACCUUCAGCAAAAAUGGAAACAAAUCAAGACUUUGAGAAUGCCAGUGGUCAGCAAAAGCUUGUUAAUAAAGCUUGUAGAGGAAGUCUCCCAGACAGUAUGCCUCCCUUGCCUAAAAUCCAUAGCAGUUGAAGUCACCCCUGUCUCAGCUGCUCCUUAAUCAAUACAACCCCUCCAAAUUGAUGUGUACUGAGACAUGCAUUGGCUUUCAAGUUAUAAGAGUGCUUACUAUAUACAACUCACUGUACAAAAGAUGGGAGAGAAUGCCAGGGCCAAAAUGUGGGAGUGAGUGGGUAGGGGAGUGGGGGGAGGGUAUGAGGGACUUUUGGGAUAGCAUUGGAAAUGUAAAUGAGGAAAAUACCUAAUAAAAAUAUUAAAAAAAAAAGAAAAUGAAGAGAC
rnacentral:lncRNA from 1 species